UCAGAAUAAAAGUAGUUAAGUUCUUCAUAACUCAAAGAAUUUGGCGGCUAAUGAAAGUUUCAGAGGAACCUGUGUGUUAAUUGAUAAACCACGAUAGGAUCUACCUUUAUUAUUAUUUGUAUACCGCUAUAUGGGUGGGGUGUUUUUUAAGAAUUAUUCUCUUUUAGAUUUAAUCUUAAAUUUUAGGUCAAGGGGCAGUUUUAUAAAGGUAUAUAUGGGUUACUUAUUUUUUUAUUUAUUAUUUAAUUCUUGUUGAUUCUGUUUAGGAUUUGAUAGUAAUUAAAAUUAAUUAAUUUUUUUGAAUAAU
rnacentral:rRNA from 1 species